UCAAGGUAUUCCUAAAAUCCUGAAACUAAUCUAAAUCAAAAUUUUUGUAAGUCUAAAAUAACUUUAACCGUUACAAAAUUAUGAUAAAUCUAAUAAACAUUUAAUAGAAAUUGUGUUUCAGUAGAACAAAUAACAUAUUUUCUUUCAGUCGCAGUAUUAUUUAUGCAAAAAAAUUACCAUUGUUUUACAUGUGUUCUAUCUGACAAUGUUGACGUGCUACAUGCUACAUUUUGUGUAUAUUUUGUGUUAAACAAGUCGUUAUGCUGCUUUUCAAAUUUUUCUGAUUUUGUUAUAGAAAAAGUGAUUUUCCUGAGUCUAUUCUAAUCCUUAAGGCUCGUUUAAUCUCCUGAAAAUAGUGAUAUUAAUACACACCCAUCCUGCAAAGACCACCUAAAAGAAGAUACAAUAAUGGUCAGCCCUUAUAUGAUUCUGAUGUUUGGCUAUUAUUCUGGUUUACAAAAUUGGUUUUACAUUAUUCAGUUAAAACUUUUGUACAAUUGGUAGAUGUAUACAGUUCCAGGGCAAUAUUUGUAUCCUUUUGAUGAAUAUUACGAUCAAUGCAGCAGUACUUAUAAGUAUAUCUAAAAUUUUAUUUCUUUCGGGUAAAUAAUUUUUUUCUGGUUUUUAAUUAUUGUUCACCAUUGAAAUUCAUAAUUUUCAAAUUUAAUUAAGUAGAAAAAAAUUACAGUAGGUCUCUGAGUUAUAUUUUAUGGUUCAUUAUUAUUACAGACAAAUUCAGAAUAUCUAUUUUUAAUUUGGGCUAAUUUUUGACUCUUGGGCAUUUCUCAUUGUUUUUGGUAGAAUACCAUCUACUUAGAAUUUUACUUCAUGUUGUUCUUUGUUUACUUUCAUUUGAAAUAGCUUGACUCCUAUAUAAUUUUGAUUGUGGGAUUAAUAUCAUCAUUUUUAAGUCUUAUUAAGUAUUUCAUUGAAUGUAUUUCUAUAGAUUUUAUUUGUUUGGUAAAAUAUACAGCCUAGUUACAAUUUUACUUCAUGUUGUUUUUGGUUUACUUUCAUUUCUCUAUAAUAGCUUGUCUCCCAUAUGUUCUCUAUGUAGGCAUAAUAACAUCAUUCAUCAAUUCCAUUGACUGUAUUUGUAUACAUCUUCUUUUAUUUGUAUUAUUUUUCUUGUGGUGUCAUUUGUCUAACUUUUUGCUUGUGUAAUUUCUUGCACAGAAUUUUAGUUUGAUGAAUUCAUUGUUAUGUAAUUUUUCUUAGAUAAUAUAGCCAUGCAUUGCUCUAGUUUACGGAUUCUGUUGGUUUGGUUUGCCUGUAUUUAAAUAUAAUUCAAACCCACUGUAACACUUAAAAAUCUCAAAAUAAGGACGAAUUUCCAAGCAGUUCCUGACGCAUUUGCCAUUUAUUUAAAAAAAACUGUUUUGUCCACAGAUUAUCACUUCUGGUUUUUCUAGCAUUUUUCCAAUAAAUUUCCCUAAAAAUCUCGCAAUAAGGAUUAACUUCCAAUCGAUCUUUGGCGCAUUCGCCAUUUAUUCGAAAAACCUGACGUCCACUUCUGUUUUUCUAGCAUUUUUUUCUAAUUAAUUUUCCUGAUUAACAUCGACUCCAGAGCAUCAUAGCUAGCCUCCCCUAAGAGGAGGAGACCCGGGUCACCCCCUAACCCUGAUGUUCGGCCAUCGAUGACCAAUGUAGCAUGCAUAGGUACCCAAGGGAGUCACCACCCUCUGGUUUACGAGCUAGGUGUUCUAACGCUAGAGGCUUCGGCCGGAUACGACCUGGCACCCAAGCUACGAGACUUCUUCGUGCACGUAUCCCGUGACCCUCGAAGGCGCAGGGGGCGGGAUAUCGGACACAUUGAAGAUGAUGAGGGGGGUCCGCCUGUAGGGGGUCCCGGUGGAUGUCCGUUCGAUGGGUGACGAGGGUGACCCGAGACGAGGCUGCUUAGCUGGGAUGGGAACUGACUGGCGAGGCUUAAUCGUCGGCCAAGGGUUAAAUCUGAUGAAGGGGGCGAAAUUAUAUGCUCUGGAGGAUUUUUCUUUAUGUGCUUGAGUCAUAUUUUGACUAGAUAUUCAUUAGAGGAGGCUAAGCAACUAAGCAUAAUCUUUGGUCAAUUUUCUAGUUCUUAUUGACCAGCUACGUCUUUAUUUUUUUAAUACCAUUUUUUCCAAUUAUCUUACAUAAUAUAUACGUAUUUAUAUAAUUUUUUUCUGUCAUCUUUCUGAUGCAUAUUUCAUAAUUUUUCUUGUCUGAAUAGAAUUAUAGCUUUUUUGUAUUCGUUUUCAUGCCAUUUUCCCAAUGCAUCAUAUCUCUUUUUCGCCAAUUUGUACAACCAUAUUUUCUUCCUUAUUGGAAUGUUAUUCAUCAGUUCUAUAAUUCUUUCGUUGAUUGUAUUUCUUCUUAUUUGUAUGCACAACUUAACAAGUAUAGCUAGAGACGUGAGAAAUAUAAAAUAACAUGUGAUCGGUGCUAUCCCCAAGUCUCUUCCUAUAUAUUUGUUCAACUGUAAUUGUAUAAUUUUUUGUGUCAUUCUUCUGAGACUUUUCUUAGUUCAUCACUCAUUUUCAUGCAAUCUUUUCUAUUCCACAUACCCAAUUUCUGCAUUUGUCUCUUAUAUUAUAUCCAUUCUGUGAAAUGUAUUAAUUUAUGUAUUUCUAUAUUAUCAAAUACCUACAAUUUAUUGUUUUUCUUCUAUAUUGAUUGUAUUUCUAAAUCUCUUAUUUGCAAUAUUGUUUAUUUUACUUGUUACUUAAAUAGAAUUGUAUAGAUUUAAGUAGCUAAUAUCUUUUAAAAUUGAGUUUUUGAAUGGAAUAUUGUACUGCUUUGGAACAAAGAUUUUUUGGGCUAGCUGCAUUUCAUUUAAUCAACGAACCCGCUUCAAGACAUCAUCAGGCUGAUAAAAUUCAACAUUGAACAGGGGAUUGAGAGAGAAAUUCAUAAUUGAAGAGGAAUUGAAUAAUUUCAGAACCAAGACUUUCCAGAAGGGUAGCCAGAAGAUUUGUUUACCUCAGCAUAGACAGCAUGUCCAUCCCCACGUUAGAUUUUAAUAUCUACACUUUUUUUGUUACUAAUGUUAAUAGAAUAUACCUACGA
rnacentral:lncRNA from 1 species